rnacentral:tRNA from 1 species
GGUAGGAUGGCUGAGUAUUAAGUGGUGGGUUGUAGCCCCAUAAACAGAGGUUUAGACCCUCUUCCUAUCA